CUUUCCUACUUCUGGUCUUCCUGUCUCCCUCUUAUGCUAGUGCCAAAGUUGGGCACACCUGGGACUAUCCAAGAUAAUCUCUCCGUCUCCCAAUUCUUAACUUAAUCGCAUCCACAAAGUCCCUUCUACCACAGCAGGUAAAAUUCCUAUUCUCCAGGGAUUAGGAUGUGGCUCGAAGUGGGGGCCACUAUUUGGCCUGCCACAGGAUCCAAAAUGUAUGGGCAAAACUGAGGCAAAUGUUCAGGCCUGGAAGUGAGCCAGAGACUCCAGAGAAAAAAUGCAAGUCAGCUUCCUUGUACAAAGGCCAGGAAGCAACUCUAUCUAAGAGUAGCAGGAAACACGCAGUCAGAACCCUUUUCUCUGUUCUUUUUGAGUAUCAAGAAACAUUGUUUUUGCUUAAUUGGGAAAUGGAAGAGACUCUGAAGCAGAAAGAUACUGCCCCCCCCCCUUCUGCUAAUCUCCCUGCAGAGAAUUUCAGAAUGUCAGAGCAUCAGGAGACCGCCACAUUCUUUUAUUUGCAACCAUGUCAUUUCCGGAAGGAAGGAGCGGAGGAGGCAGCAUGGUCCAGUGAAAAGAGCAUAAGACUGUUCAAGGUGGCCCAGAAACUCCAAGAAGGCCAAGGAACUGCAGAGCAGCAGUGGAGGGACCCCACGAUGCAGGAUGUAUGCCCCAACUUUCUGUGCGCAGCCUGCUGCAGACCCGGACUACUUGCCAAGGGAGGCUCAGCUCUUAGGAGAAAAGGGGCUACAAGGGAAACUUCCAAAGCCAGGGCCCCCAAAGAAACCAGUCAGUUCUUGGAGAUGGGGUGUGCAUGUGUGCGUGUGUGUGUUUGGGGGAAUCACAUCAGAAAACCCUGAAGCAGGAGCAUUUCAACAAAAGGACUGCCACCGAGCCCUGACAAUGCCAAGGCCAACAAGCUAUCCAGGAGUCCCUCAGGCACAGACUUCAACAGCGGAUGUAACGGGCAAGAUCUAGAUUCUCAAAGAAAGGCCAUGGACAUGUGCGCAAUGAGAGCAGCUACCCAACUGCAGAGACCAGCACCAGUACCAGCAUGAGACAGGGGUGACCUACAGCCUCCACCUCAGCCCCACCAUCUCCCCUAGUAUGCAGAGAUCACCUCGAGAAAAGGAGAGAAAUAAACCAUUCUGAUCAAAGGGCGGAUUUUGAAU
rnacentral:lncRNA from 1 species